rnacentral:rRNA from 1 species
AAGGAAAGCUUGCUUUUCUGAAUCUAGUGGCGAACGGGUGAGUAACACGUAGGUAACCUGCCCAUGUGCCCGGGAUAACUUCUGGAAACGGAUGCUAAAACCGGAUAGGUAGCAGACAAGCAUUUGACUGCUAUUAAAGUGGCUUUGGCCAUGAACAUGGAUGGACCUGCGGUGCAUUAGCUGGUUGGUGAGGUAACGGCCCACCAAGUCAACGAUGGGUAGCCGACCUGAGAGGGUGAUCGGCCACAUUGGGACUGAGACACGGCCCAAACUCC